rnacentral:rRNA from 1 species
UGGGGAAUAUUGGACAAUGGGGGAAACCCUGAUCCAGCAAUGCCGCGUGAGUGAAGAAGGCCAUAGGGUUGUAAAGCUCUUUCAGUAGGGACGAUGAUGACGGUACCUACAGAAGAAGCCCCGGCUAACUCCGUGCCAGCAGCCGCGGUAAGACGGAGGGGGCUAGCGUUGUUUGGAAUUACUGGGCGUAAAGGGCGCGUAGGCGGCAAAUCAAGUUAGGCGUGAAAUCCCUGGGCUUAACCCAGGAACUGCGUUUAAUACUGGUUAGCUAGAGAUUGGUAGAGGAAAGUGGAAUUCCUAGUGUAGAGGUGAAAUUCGUAGAUAUUAGGAAGAACACCAGAGGCGAAGGCGACUUUCUGGGCCAAUACUGACGCUGAGGCGCGAAAGCGUGGGGAGCAAACAG